CAGGCCUAACACAUGCAAGUCGAACGAGACCUUCGGGUCUAGUGGCGCACGGGUGCGUAACGCGUGGGAAUCUGCCCUUGGGUUCGGAAUAACUGGAAGAAAUUCCAGCUAAUACCGGAUGAUGACGUAAGUCCAAAGAUUUAUCGCCCAAGGAUGAGCCCGCGUAGGAUUAGCUUGUUGGUGAGGUAAAAGCUCACCAAGGCGACGAUGUCUAGGGGAGCUGAGAGGCUGGUCCCCCACACGGGCACUGAGAUACGGGCCCGACUCCUACGGGAGGCAGCAGUAGGGAAUAUUGGGCAAUGGGCGCGAGCCUGACCCAGCCAUGCCGCGUGCAGGAUGAAGGCUUUCUGAGUCGUAAACUGCUUUUGCCAGGGAAGAAAAAAGGGCGUGCGCGCCUUACUGACGGUACCUGGUGAAUAAGCACCGGCUAACUCCGUGCCAGCAGCCGCGGUA
rnacentral:rRNA from 1 species